AGAGUUUGAUCCUAGCUCAGGAUGAACGCUCGCUGUGUGCCUAAUACAUGCAUGUUGAACGGGAUGUAGCAAUACAUUCAGUAGCGAAUGGGUGAGUAACACGUACCUAACCUACCUUUAAGACUGGGAUAACUAUUGGAAACAAUAGCUAAUACCGGAUAUAGUUAUUUAUCGCAUGAUGAGUAAUAGAAAGGAGCUUCACAGCUUCACUUAAAAAUGGGGGUGCGGAACAUUAGUUAGUUGGUAGGGUAAUGGCCUACCAAGACGAUGAUGUUUAGCCGGGCCGAGAGGCUGUACGGCCACACUGGGACUGAGAUACGGCCCAGACUCCUACGGGAGGCAGCAGUAAGGAAUUUUCCACAAUGAGCGAAAGCUUGAUGGAGCGACACAGCGUGCAGGAUGAAGUUCUUCGGAAUGUAAACUGCUGUUAUAAGGGAAGAAAAAAUAGAAUAGGAAAUGAUUUUAUCUUGACGGUACCUUAUUAGAAAGCGACGGCAAACUAUGUGCCAGCAGCCGCGGUAAUACAUAGGUCGCAAGCGUUAUCCGGAAUUAUUGGGCGUAAAGCGUCCGUAGGUUUUUUGCUAAGUCUGGAGUUAAAUGCUGAAGCUCAACUUCAGUCCGCUUUGGAUACUGGCAAAAUAGAAUUAUAAAGAGGUUAGCGGAAUUCCUAGUGAAGCGGUGGAAUGCGUAGAUAUUAGGAAGAACACCAAUAGGCGAAGGCAGCUAACUGGUUAUAUAUUGACACUAAGGGACGAAAGCGUGGGGAGCAAACAGGAUUAGAUACCCUGGUAGUCCACGCCGUAAACGAUGAUCAUUAGUUGGUGGAAUAAUUUCACUAACGCAGCUAACGCGUUAAAUGAUCCGCCUGAAUAGUAUGCUCGCAAGAGUGAAACUUAAAGGAAUUGACGGGAACCCGCACAAGCGGUGGAGCAUGUGGUUUA
rnacentral:rRNA from 1 species